rnacentral:rRNA from 1 species
GAUGAACGCUGGCGGCGUGCCUAAUACAUGCAAGUCGAGCGAACGGACGAGAAGCUUGCUUCUCUGAUGUUAGCGGCGGACGGGUGAGUAACACGUGGAUAACCUACCUAUAAGACUGGGAUAACUUCGGGAAGCCGGAGCUAAUACCGGAUAAUAUUUUGAACCGCAUGGUUCAAAAGUGAAAGACGGUCUUGCUGUCACUUAUAGAUGGAUCCGCGCUGCAUUAGCUAGUUGGUAAGGUAACGGCUUACCAAGGCAACGAUGCAUAGCCGACCUGAGAGGGUGAUCGGCCACACUGGAACUGAGACACGGUCCAGACUCCUACGGGAGGCAGCAGUAGGGAAUCUUCCGCAAUGGGCGAAACCCUGACGGAGCAACGCCGCGUGAGUGAUGAAGGUCUUCGGAUCGUAAAACUCUGUUAUUAGGGAAGAACAUAUGUGUAAGUAACUGUGCACAUCUUGACGGUACCUAAUCAGAAAGCCACGGCUAACUACGU